rnacentral:lncRNA from 1 species
AUGACAACCAUUCAUUCACAGGAUCAGGAUUAUAAAGCCAGUCUAUGCAACAGUGGGGACCAGGCUUUUUCAUAUGAAACACCAUUAGAGAACAGGAAUCUAAUUCUCAUUUUUGAUGUUGGCCCCAUCAGUAUGGUUAAUGUUGUACUUCCACCAUAUCGGAUGUUUCGGUCUGCAAAGGAAAAAGCGAAGAUCAGGGCAUGACAACUCCUAUCACACCAUUUUCCUGCUGGUUCACAGCUGUCAGUUUCAAAUCCAGGAUCAAUUACAAGAUGGGCCCAGAGAACAAAGAACAUUCUGAGCAAAAAGACUGUUGAAGACGGCAAAGCCGCAGGUAUUUUAAAAAUUGACUUGUAAACCAACUGUGGGCCACUUUGGCAGUACACAAACUCAAGUUGAUGGUGCACCCACUCCUCUGUUUACUUGAGAAAUAGAUACCCUCGGGGAGGAAAAGGUGAUACGUCAGUUCAGGGUGCUUCAGCAUGAAGCUCCAGUGUGAGUGCAAAGGGUCUUUGUCCAGAUAGUCACUGUUUUUGUGAUGAUCUUCCUUGUCAUUGUCCCUAUAGUUAUGUUAUAUAAGAAAAUGUAUCGACCUUUUAUUCAAUAGUUUCUACACUUUAUUUUAAUAUUUCAUCUAAAUAUUCAAACUACAAUUCAACUAGUAAAUAUUAACUAAUAUCAUAAUAUUUCUCUCAAAAAUGAUGUCUUUGAAUUGGAUUCAUAAUAUUCUUUAUCUGAAAUAAUAUUAAUCUAGGAAACAUUCAUAUUUCCU